rnacentral:rRNA from 1 species
GACAGAGGGUGCAAACGUUGUUCGGAAUUACUGGGCGUAAAGGGUGCGUAGGCGGCGCGGUAAGUCGGGUGUGAAAUCUCGGGGCUUAACUCCGAAACUGCAUUCGAUACUGCCGUGCUUGAGGACUGGAGAGGAGACUGGAAUUUACGGUGUAGCGGUGAAAUGCGUAGAUAUCGUAAGGAAGACCAGUGGCGAAGGCGGGUCUCUGGACAGUUCCUGACGCUGAGGCACGAAGGCCAGGGGAGCAAACGGG